rnacentral:rRNA from 1 species
ACGGGACCUUGUUGCUGAGAAGCUGAUCAAACUUGGUCAUUUAGAGGAAGUAAAAGUCGUAACAAGGUUUCCGUAGGUGAACCUGCGGAAGGAUCAUUAUUGAUUGCGAAUCGUUGUCUUCAGUGCUGGCCAGCUCUGGCAAGUGCACGUUGGCGGCUUUUCAUCCAAUACCCCUGUGAACCUUUGGCCUCUUGCUAGCUUUGGCUGGCAGAGGAUUUUUACACCCACUCGAAUGUAAUGAAAUUAUUGUUGUGCGCAAGCACUACUGUACAACUUUCAACAACGGAUCUCUUGGCUCUCGCAUCGAUGAAGAACGCAGCGAAAUGCGAUAAGUAAUGUGAAUUGCAGAAUUCAGUGAAUCAUCGAAUCUUUGAACGCACCUUGCACCCUUUGGCAUUCCGAAGGGUAUGCUCGUUUGAGUGUCAUUGUACUCUCACACUUCUGAUCCUUUUGGAUUGGGAGCGGUGGACUUGGGUGUUGCUGCUUUACUGCGGCUCACCUCAAAUGCAUUAGUGCAACUCUUGGUUGGACAUAGUACGGCGUGAUAAGUAUCUUCGCCGGCACCUCGCAAGAGGGUGGCUGAUCAGGAGCUCUGUGCUCUCCAACUGUCUUCGGACAACAACUGACAACUUGACCUCAAAUCGAGUAGGACCACCCGCUGAACUUAAGCAUAUCAAUAAGCGGAGGAAAAGAAACUAACAAGGAUUCCCCUAGUAACGGCGAGUGAAGAGGGAAGAGCUCAAAUUUUGAAUCUGGCGUCUCUGGCGUCCGAAUUGUAAUCUAGAGAAGUGUUUUCCGUGGCGGACCGUGCAUAAGUCUCCUGGAAUGGAGCGUCAUAGAGGGUGAGAAUCCCGUAUAUGGCAUGGACUCCCGUUGCUCUGUGAUACACUCUCGACGAGUCGAGUUG